rnacentral:lncRNA from 1 species
UGUAUAUAAUUUAAUCUUAGACCUUAAUCUUUAUUAAACUAUUUCACGUGAAAACUGAGUGUAUAAAUUAUGAGAGCAGAAGGAUUUCAACUAAGUAUUUCUAAUGGUGAGUUUUUGUCAUAUUACAUUGUUUUAUAAUACAUGUAUAGAAAGAAUCAUGAUUUAUCCUAAAGUAUCAAUACACUUUCCAGUCAAUAGACAGUAUAGGGUCAAUGUUCAAUAAGUAUGUUGUAUAGGUAAACAUUGAUCAUUUAUCACCUUUAAACACACAACUGUGUCAUCUUAAAAUUUAUGUAAGUUGUUAUUUACAUUUCAUAUUAAUUAUCUUACGUGAUACUGAAAAUAAUCAUGGGCAAUCAUAACAUGGUAAUAAUAUAUCUUUAUAAACAUCAUUAAAAAAUCCUCUUAUUUUUUAUCAGGAAGUUUGAUAGUUUGAAAAAUUCUAACGUAAACAUUUUAUAGACAACAUAUUUUUUUCUAAUCGUUAUCCCCAGAUGUGUUGUAUUAAAUGUAUUAAACGUAAAACGACCAAUCAAGUGUUUGAACUUUUUUGUUACGGAACUGUUCGAGGAAAAAGCAAUUUUGAUCACAAAUACAUAGAACGAUUGUGAAAGCGAUUAUCUUCGAUUAAACCUCCAGGAAAUGUUUUUAUAAAUUAAGGUUACCUACAUUCAAAGCAGAAAAUUAUUUUGCUGUUUAGUUUAUCUUCAAAUUCUAUCCAUUCCUAGACUUAUAAUUUUUAAGCAAGAAUCCCAGUUGAGAAAACAAGUAAUCAAUGAUAAAUUUGUUUUUGCAUUUAAAUGUGCUUAAAAUCGUUCUUUAACUCAUGUUUACAACUUUUCAUAGAUGAAACAACAGAUAGAAUGGGACAGUUAAAUGGAUCUGAUUUUGACUCGUCUGACCACACUGGUUUAUGGAUAGCUGUGGUGUUUUGUGUCUUGUUUCUAUUUUUUCUAAUCAUUUCCACGAUUGUUGUGAAUGGAAGAAAAAUGAACAACGAAAAGGAAUUUAUAU